GCUCCUUGGAGGUCUCUGGGAUUCGCGAUUCGGGCAUAACAACUGGAUUUCAUGAAUAAAGAAGAAAAAACCAAGAGUUACUGUACCUUUCCAAUGAAUUAUGAAUCGGUAUAAUAGGAUGUUUCAUCUUUAAAAGAAGCAAAAAAAUGAAAGCUGUAUGUUAAACUUCCAACAGAGCAUAUUCAGAGUCUUAUCACAUGUAAAAAUGCCAACCUGUGCUGGCCUUCACCUUGUUGGACUUGAGCAUAGCCAGCUGCGGUGAACCUGGUGG